GCCACCAACAUGCGCUCGAGGCGAGGUCUGAGAAUUUUCUCUUCUCUUAAAUUGUUCAUUUUGGGAAUCCUUAAUUGCAUCGCCCAGCUCUGCUUAGACUGAUUCAUUUUCUGCAUGCCCCUCCGCAAGUGUAUCCUGACCAUGUUGUCCGACCCCACCUACACGUCCGAGGUCUUGGAGAAGAUUGGCCUCCUGCAGCGGCUUGUGACCCAAGGUCCUCAACACUGAUGAGGCUUCAUGGAUACCGUUCCAGUCAUAGAACCAAGUCCCAAGCUCUCACCUCUGACCUCUCUGUCGACGAUGCACAUUGUCACUGCAGGUAGAUUGCAGUUAAAGAAUUACACAAGUUAUGCCAAACAGUGCAUCUGCUUCGACUGAUUAAUUUUCUGCGUGCCAAAGAGGGCCUUGACAAGUACCCCAUGACCAAGUUGUUCCACCGUACCUACACGUCGUCGCCGCUGGCAUAUGACACAGGAAGAUUGGCCUCCUGCAGCGGUUUGUGACCCAAGAUCCUCAACAAUGAGGCUUCAUUCAUGGCUGUGAUGCCAAACUUUGCCCAGCACCAGGCCCACCCAAAGGGGCACACACGAGCCCUCCCCAUGGCGGUGGCGCGCCUCCUAAGUUCGUGAUGCAAGGAUCAGGUAGCAGUAUAGCACCGGGUUGCAACAUUUGACAAGGAGGGCAUCCGGAAGUGGCUAUGCAUGCUCACGUGCAGUAGGUAUGAAUCAGGUCCUUGUUCCCCAUUCAUGCAUCAUGUUUCAUAUGGAGCUAAGAGAUGUUUUCUGCCUUUUAUUUUUUUGUAUAAACAAAAAUCCUUGUUGUUUUGGCUGCUGGCGUUUGUUAAUACUUGCUUACUUCUGAAACCUGAUAUCUGAAUUUGAGGUGAUGGUUUUCCAUAUUACAUAUUGAUUCAAAAACAAUGUUAAUCCAUGACAUCAACUAUUAAUCUUCCCUUUGUCAUGUUCACUUUUAACUUUUAUUAUUCAUUUGAGGGAUUUUUUUUGGAUUAAUCCAGUUCCAACUGUCAAUCUAUCCCCACAUAACAAUAGAAACACAACGAGAAGGUAAUCAAGAAAACCUCAAACGUGUAAGCUUCUUGGAUUGAAAAUUUGCAAGUCAAGUUUUCUAAUUUGACUUCAUUGCAGAGCAGUGGCGGAGCUUCAAAGAAAAAGUUGGGCGGGCCAAGUUAAAGAAAAGCACAAUUUUUCUAGGCAUAUAUGUCAACAAACAAGUUAAUGGCCAGAUAAUCAUAUUCUACAUCAUUAGCAACAUUGUUUCAAUGAUCUUCAUAUACUAAAGCACGGUUAACAAAAAGUAUUAAGCAUUAGGUAUGAACUCUUAAGAAAAAAUAGCUUUCUAUCUUCCAUUUCUACGUAUAAAUUAGUAAUAAAAUGCAUUAAUUAUGCUCAGUUCAACUAAUGGACAACAAAAACAGACUACUCCAAGUUACCCAGCGGCACGGUUGUCACUUAUGAGGAGGUAAACUGGACUAAGUGCAUAGUUAUAUAAAAUAUCAUGAAAAUCCUGGGCGGGCCAUGGCCCGGUUUAGCCCCAAUGAAGCUCCGCCCCUGUUGCAGAGGAACUACCAAAGAAGACCUACAACUGUAGCGGGAAUGACUGCAAAGUAAGUUAAUGUUCAUUAAAUUCCAUCUUGUAGACAUUUAAUUGAGAGAUGCAAUAGUCAAUAACAUGUUUAUAGGGCUUCCAUGAAACAUCAGCAUUUGUUGAGGUAUGCAGUGUUUCACAUAUGUAGAUGUUGCCGCAGUUUCUUAAGAGUCAGGAUAUAUAUAGACUUUCCUCAGAUAUAUACAGGCGAGUUAUGUCUGUACCUGUUGUGCAUAAUGAUGCUACAAC